rnacentral:misc_RNA from 1 species
GUCCUGGCUGCAUGAUGAGUCAUGCAUCAAUAAAUGAAAUCACUAUGAGAUCUAAGGCCAUGUAGUUAUGAUUAGGGAUGCUGAUGCCAAUAGUUAUCUAGCCUUGCAAAAUGAUUCUGAUGAUUUAUAGUUAAAAUUGAAAUUAAUGCAAGUAUAGUUUUGAAAUUUAUCUUAUGAGUGUGUUUCCAUUUUGAGGCAUCCAUAACUUUUGCUUCCAUUUACAUCCUCAAAGAAGUUUAUGCCUUCAAUAUAGCUAUUCUUACUUCAAGUGCCAGUGGUGUCUCAAGGAACAAUGUUCUGCUUUA